AAAGCCCUUUUAAACUAGGCUUUUUGGGGGUCAAUUCUUAAUGAAAUGAUGAAAAGAUAUUUAAGGGUUGCUUCUUGCUUGUACAUUUUACAGCAGAAGUUCUCUUUUAUAUCAAAGCUAAAUU